rnacentral:lncRNA from 1 species
GUCUAAUUUAUAUGAACACGCAUCUCCUACUCCUUCUUCUUCUUCUUCUUCUUAUUUUUAUUUUAUUUUAUUUUUAUUUAAGUCAAGGCAUUAACUCCUAUUAUUGAUAAUAGGUUAUAUAAAAUACGAAAAGACAGAUUUCUGUUAAAAUAUCCACAAGGUACACACUUAGUGUUAUUUUUAUGAGUCUUCAAAUGAGUUUUCACAUAUGAAAAAAUUGUAUAUAUAUAUAUAUAUAUAUAUAUCUUUGAAUGUUGUAACUAAUCGAAUGUAGGAAGCAAAACAACAUUUUACAACAACUGUAAAAAAAGAUGAAUAUAGUAAUUUUCUACAGUAUGAUGGACUUGUAGAAAUGCACACUCAUUAUGAAACUAGAUAUCACACAUGUGUUGAAUACAUUUGUAAUUUAUAUAAAUAUAGAAGGGAUAAAAAAAGAGCCAAAAUAUAUUUUCCUUCCAAAUUCAAAACUAUUGAAUAUUACGAUGAUUGCAGCCAACAAUUUUUAAAAAAACUCGAAGAGCGAAUAGGUCUUUAUUUACAUUUCACGUUUUAUGAGAAUAGACUAGAUGGAUUAAUACAUUAUAUAGAGGUAAAUAUAACAAUCAAUAUAAUUAAGAAAACACAAAAAAAAAAAAAAAAAAAAAAAAAUGUACAACUAAAAAACUAACUCUAACAAUUGACGUUUCUCCAUUUUAGAUAAAAGAUUACAAAUUGAUGGAAUAUUUUGUUAAUCGAGUUGAUAAGUAAUAAAAAAAAAUAAAAAAUAUAUAUAAUUUAUAUU